UACGGGGGGAGCAAGCGUUGUUCGGAUUUACUGGGCGUAAAGCGUGCGCAGGCGGUUUUAUAAGACAGGUGUGAAAUCCCCGGGCUCAACCUGGGAACUGCAUUUGUGACUGUAGAGCUGGAGUACGGCAGAGGGGGAUGGAAUUCCGCGUGUAGCAGUGAAAUGCGUAGAUAUGCGGAGGAACACCGAUGGCGAAGGCAAUCCCCUGGGCCUGUACUGACGCUCAUGCACGAAAGCGUGGGGAGCAAACAGG
rnacentral:rRNA from 1 species